UUCCUUUCUUUCUUUCUUUCUUUCUUUCUUUCUUUCUUCCUUUCUAUCUUUCUUUCUUAGAUUGUAUGACCUUAGAUUUUGAGGUCAGAAUCAUUAUCCUUUUGCAGAGACAGAAGCAGGUGCUCAAAGAAACGAAAACGAUUGCCUAUGACCAUACAGAUUUGAGUUAGCACCUUGAAAUCUGAUUAACAAGUUCCUGAAUUUCCACACCAUGUUUUUUUUUUUUCCUCGUUCAUUGACCUCUUGUUUGCCGGGCCCCUCGAUGUCAUCCGGACCUGUUCCAGCCAAGUCUUCUUUGUGUUCAUCCAGAUGUGCUCCCUGCCAGACACAUCUUUCUGCUAUCCCUCCAGGAUCAUGCCACUGUGAUGUCUGAUACUGGAGAGAUGGCCAGUGCCUAAGAAGACAGCCCAACUCCUGUUCCAGGGGAUCCGAUUCCGCUACAGACAACUUCACAUCCAUGCAACACAUAAACUCGUGCAGGCACACAACAUCGACAUAAAAUUAAAAACAUUCUAAAAAG